GCAACAGCGGGUGGAAUUUUUAGCACAAGCGAGGGAAGAGGUUGGAGCGACGAGAGGCGGGAGCGGAAAGGGCGCGGAGUCCGGGGAUGCAGCGCGCUCCACCGCCCAGCUCCAGGUGGCGCCUCUGACCACCCGCACCCCGCUGCGCCCAGGGAAGGGCCGAUGGCGCGCCGUCCUCCCUCCUCCCUUCGGGAAGCCUGCGACGUCCCAUCCCCUCCGACGCAGGCCCGGGAAAGGCUCAAAAGGUUCGAGGUCGCGUUCCUGCUAUCCCGCGGGCUUCUCUCACUCUUAGAUCCCGCACCAGAGGAAGCGGAUCUCCUUGAGUGGGCAAAGCAGGGGUGAGGGGCUGGGGGCAGUUCCACUGACAACGGGACGGGGGCGAGAGGGGUUUACCCAGUACAUACAGAAACAGCAGAAAAGAAAUCUAUUUUUAAUGGCUUUGGCUUUAUAGCACGAAGCAGGCACCCUCUCGUUAAAGGCACACAGUCCUCUCUUCUGCUCCACCUCCUGGGUCCUUAAAAUCGAGUCCUGAGUUCCAGAGGGGUCACUGCAAGGCAGCAGGGAAGGAAGAGGGUCACAGUUUCACUCUGUGAGUAUCAGACACCCAGGGCCAAGGCCCAGACUGGCCUCUGAAGCUACAGGUUAGAGUCUGGGUACAGGAAGCAGCCGAGAUGGUCCCUGAGAACAGACAGUCCCGGUCCCCCGGAGCAAGCUCCAUCCUCUGCAGAGCUGUGACGUCAGUGCCCCACAUCCUGGGGCAACGUGAAGUCCCUGAAGCUGUAGAAGGAGAUGUCACCAUGAUCCACCAGGGCAAAGAUCAGAGGGACAUCCCCACUCUGGUAAGAUAACCGCUUGAGGCUGCAGAGGUCUGGGACAGGCUCAUCAAAUCUGCAGGGACAAAGGGUUAGAGUGAGACCCAGCCAUAGCCCACUCCUAAGCUCUAGGGCUCCCAGAGAAGAGAUUCUACGGAAGGAGUUGGGGUGCAAGAAUUCUGAACCAUGAGUUCUGUCUCCAAAACACAGGGCUCUGAUGAAGAGCGCCCCAGAGCACUGGUUAGGGAGGUGCUAGGAAGAGCAAGGUGCUCACCACUCUUAGCCUGUAAAUCCCCACAAUCCACAUCCCUUCUGCUGGGUGAGUCCUGGACUAAAAUGGCAUUGGAGAAAGACUACCCUAAAAUGCCAGCAAUGAAGAGCUCAGAGUAGGGCAGCACAAACUGGCUGUGUGGCCUUGUGUAGGUCACUUAGCCUCUCUGGAUCUCAUGUUCCUCUCAGAGAUUGGCACGCUGGCCAGGGGAGUACAGAGGAGUCCCACUUGGUUCACAGGAGAACUGGCAGCAGCUGGGGGAGGGGCAGUGCUGGCUCACUGCGUACCCACUAAUGCACAUCCGGGCAUAGGGUUUGCCAGGGUUAUUCUUUCGGAAUGUGGCCACAGCGUCGGCCUGGUAAACAUCAAAGAUGAUUUCCAAGCCCCCAGACUUCUCCAACAGCCUGACAAUACAAUGAGAAACGUUAUGACAUGAACUCUUCUCCCCAACCUUUCUUUUCCAUCCCACCCUUUCCCUCCACCAGUUCCUGAAAGCAGCCUCACAGAGGUGCCACUUGAGGGUUGGGGGCUCUGAACCCUUGGGCUAACCCACUGGUUGUUCUCCCUCUUCCCUAGACACACACGAACACUAGUUAUUGCUCAGAGCUAGGCUUAGGGGUAGGAGUCCCUGAAACAGUCCUCUAGUUUACACCCUACUUCAGGAGCCAGUUCCUAACCACCAACUCCUGGCGGUCAAGGUACUGCAGAGACGGCACUGCUUGGAAACUUACCGGGCACCUCCAUCAGGAAGGUGUGUUGUCUGCAGCACAGAGAUAUGCUGAAGGACCACGGCUACAAGGACACAGAAAACAAGCUGGAGCAGCGCUGCACCUCGGGAUCGGCGUUGACGUCUUCCUGGAACCGCGCGGCCUCCGCGUGGUGCUCCCGUUCCCGCCUGGAGAGCUUCUCCUUGCGCUGGUUCAGCUUCUGGCACCAGGACUCAGCGUCUGUCUCCCGCCCAGCCACGUUGGCCGGGAGCAGCUCUGGGGCUGGGGCGCGCAGGAGGGUGUGGCGGCUGUCUGAAGCCAUGUUGGGGAAGGAGAUCUGCUCGAAGUUCCAGCGCCGCUUACCGGCCCCCGUGACUCCGUUCUCGGCUCUGCCGCUCUCCCAGCUGCACCCCACCCCCUCCCUGGCCGGGCCAGGGCUGGGGCCCAGGGACCCCAGAAGCUGAAAGGGGCCCCCUGGGCCCUUCAUGGGGCUUGACUCCUGGGGUUUCUCCUCUGGGCAUUGGCUGGGCUGGCUGCAGGGAGGUGGGCUGGAGGCUGCCAGACUCUUGGGUUGCAGGGAGUUGUCCAGGGCCUUGGCCUUCUUAUUAAUGGACCUGAGGGACGUGGGGGAAAAGCAGCACAUCUGCCCCUGGUUGCUAAGGUGCACACGUCCCAUGGGAGCUGAAGGCAGGUCCCCUAGUGUCUCCCUGAGCCUGCAUGGGAGCUGCCCAAGCCUAGUUCUUAGAAAACCUGUGCAUUUUCCAAGGUCCCAGACACCAGCACUCCCUGGGGGGCGACCGUGAUGUGGGAGUUACCGAGGGCUGGAGCUGCUCCUCUUUCUCUUGCCAUCUCCAUCCUCCAAGUGCUGCACGCUGGCAUCCAGGUUAAGCUGCCUCUCAUACGGGGACAGGACAGAGCUGUGGGGUGAGAACAGCGGGUGGGCCACUGACCCACCUCCUCAGCCUGGGGAUCUGGUGGGAUGUGUAAGGAAACGGGCCAAGGGGACAGUCAGUGGGCCAGGAUCGGAGCCACACCCAAGUGCUAAGGCCCUAAGCAGACCCCCAUGAGGGGUACAGGCCCAGCCAGGGGGCCCAGCCAUGUGCCUCUGCCUAGGCAAUGGCCCAGAGGAGCUAGCAAACUUGGUAAAUAUAGAAAAAUAAAAACCUUGGAUAACUAUUGUUAACAUCUUUCUUUCGUUUAUGUAUACACUGACUAAUCUCUCUCCAUAUAUUUUUUUCUAACAAAAAUGGCAUUGUACUAGCAUACUGCUUUGUGAUCUUUUUUUUCACUCAAUAAUAUAUUGUGGACACAGCCCCGUCACUGUAGCAUUCUUCCCUGCUGUGAAUUUUUU
rnacentral:lncRNA from 1 species